CGGGCGGCGCGAGGAUCCUCUCCGGGGAGCAGCUGUGAGCGGGCACGCCGGGUCCAACCCCAGAGGCUCCAGCAGGGAGGCCGCGGGUGUGGCCGGGCAGCAGAGAAGAAUAGAAAGACCUCUGCACCUGGAGUCAAGAGCUCCUGUCCUAAUCUCUGCCACUAAGUGAUCAGAUGACAAAAGUCCAUCGGAAGCAGAGAUGGUGUUUCAGAGGCCUUGUAUCCCCCACGACCUAGCAGAUUCUGAUAGUUGUUGAUAUAAUGAUGUUUAAGUUAUAUAACAGCCACAAAGGAGAAAGGAAAAUUUUCCUUUUGACUGCUGACACGUCAAGAAUACACAAAUAUUAUAGCUGUUCAAACCAGUUGGCAAGCAGAACCCAAGUGGCAGAUGCGUGCCUUUGCUCUUUACGACAUGUUCCAACAAUAAAGAAUGCUGCUACUGAGAAAGCAAAUCUGAUACUUCCUAAAGGGAAGUACAGUUUACAAAAGAGUGUCAGCACAUACAAUCUCAGUUCCCCAAAUACUAACCCACUCACGAGAACAGAGGGACUAAGUCAUUCUGUCAUCCGUUUCAAGUAAGGAACACAUACAUACAUAUCUGACCAUCUUACCAAAGUACCAAUUCCCCCUUAAAUAGAAACAUCUACCCGUUUACCUACAAGUGCUCCUAAGCAUAAAAGGUAGCAAAUGGCAGUUCUCCGAGGCAACUUGUAACUACUAGAACCAUCAUAAGUUUCCAUUUGUUUAUAUGGUUUAAAAUCAAAAGCUAUAUGACAUUUGCAUUACAGCAAGCCUCUGUCCAAGAGUCAUUAUCAUACAUAGACACAGGGAGUCACUCGUAUUCUUUGAUUAGUGCUAAUACAUUUCUGCCUUUAUGAGAUGGGAAUAAAUGCUACCGUUGUUCUCAAAAAGCUAUGUGAUAAAUCAGCCAUCCUACUAUGCAAUUACAUUUAUUAUGAUUGCCCACGACAAAGACACAGACUUCUUAAAUAUUCCAAGUACAAACAACCAAAUGAAUUAGUCAGUAUUCUUUUUUUUUUUUUUUUUUUUUUGCGGUACGCGGGCCUCUCAGGGUUGUGGCCUCUCCCGCCGCGGAGCACAGGCUCCGGACGCGCAGGCCCAGCGGCCAUGGCUCACGGGCCCAGCCGCUCUGCGGCAUGUGGGAUCUUCCCGGACCGGGGCACGAACCCGUGUCCCCUGCAUCGGCAGGCAGACUCUCAACCACCGUGCCACCAGGGAAGCCCUUAGUCAGUAGUCUUUAACUUGCAGGUAACAGAAAGGGCACUUGAAGGAGCAGAGGCAAAAGCAAGACAGACUCACUGAGUCUAGCAACACAAAAGCCACAGGGGUGGCUAGGCUUUAGGACCAACUCAAAAUGAACUCCACCAGGACAAGAGGACAUCUUUGCUUCUACAGGUUGGCUUUGUUCUCCCUUCCUAAAAUCUGCCUUCUUCCACUUAACUCCCAGCUCUGCCACUCAGAGGGACUAUUCCAUAGUUAUAAUUUUUUAAAUUCUUAAGAAAAACUCAUGCUGGUCCAGCUUGGGGCCAUGUGGCCACCCCAGUGGCCAAGGUCCCACGACUGACUGGUCUACACUAGAACUACCUCGUUGUACUGGCGGGAAGAGCAGUAAGUCCUCCAGAAGAGAGGUGAGUUUACUUCCCAGAAGUGGAAAGGAGGGCUCAUUUGUCUGCCCCCCAAAUAUCACCACCUAUCAAGAAAUUCCAUUUCAAGUCUAACGCAAAAGCUUAUCUAAGCAGUCCUCAACCUGGUAAUAAAUUACAUUCUGAAAGUUGUUUAAUGAACUCUAAAGUUCAUGAACACUUCUGUGGCACUUGAAAUGCAUUUCACUAGAGACCAAAUGUAGAGAGACUGGCUUCUCUGACAGACUUUAAAGGCCUAUCGAACUCAUGAUUUAUCUGAAGUAUAAUGUUAAUAAUAUUUCUAAGACUAUACUCAAACCCCAUUCAUAACAUUGUUCCUAUAGGAAAAUGUAUUUGAAAUUCCACCUACAGCAAGAAAAACAUGCUCAAUUUAAUUCAUUUACUGAGUAUCUAGUAAUGAUAGUGGCUUCCAUUGUGCACAUAUCACUUUACAUUUAAUCUGUACACAAUACAGCAAGGCGGGUAUUAACAACUGCACUGAACACACGACGAAACUGGGAGUUCGAGAAGGUUUUGAAGCCUAAGGUCAAUCAUGAAGACGAGUCAGAGCCUGCUUCAGAGCUAUGAAUGUUUGACCCCAAAGCUGGGACUAUUCUCUCUGAUACCCAUAGCAGCCAGACAAGAGCGGGCCUUCAGUUCAGGUGACUAAGAGCUGAGCUAACGUUUCAGACUCUGUGUAAGCAUCUAGAUUUCCCUGCAGAGAAGAGAAGGAACUAGUG